rnacentral:rRNA from 1 species
UAGGGAAUCUUCCACAAUGGGCGAAAGCCUGAUGGAGCAACGCCGCGUGUGUGAUGAAGGGUUUCGGCUCGUAAAACACUGUUGUAAGAGAAGAAUGACAUUGAGAGUAACUGUUCAAUGUGGGACGGUAUCUUACCAGAAAGGAACGGCUAAAUACGUACCAG